AGAGUUUGAUCAUGGCUCAGGAUGAACGCUGGCGGCGUGCCUAACACAUGCAAGUCGAGCGCGAUUAAGUGGAGUGCGAACUUCGGUUCAAGUGAAGCUUAUGAAAGCGGCGGACGGGUGAGUAACGCGUGGGUAACCUGCCCCAUACAAAGGGAUAGCCACUGGAAACGGUGAUUAAUACCUUAUAAGUCGGUAGUCUCGCAUGAGACAGCUGACAAAGAUUUAUCGGUAUGGGAUGGACCCGCGUCUGAUUAGCCAGUUGGUGAGGUAACGGCUCACCAAGGCGACGAUCAGUAGCCGACCUGAGAGGGUGAUCGGCCACACUGGAACUGAGACACGGUCCAGACUCCUACGGGAGGCAGCAGUGGGGAAUAUUGCACAAUGGGCGCAAGCCUGAUGCAGCAACGCCGCGUGAGUGAAGAAGGCCUUCGGGUUGUAAAACUCUGUCCUAUGGGAAGAAAAAAAUGACGGUACCAUAGGAGGAAGCCCCGGCUAACUACGUGCCAGCAGCCGCGGUAAUACGUAGGGGGCAAGCGUUAUCCGGAAUCACUGGGCGUAAAGGGUGCGUAGGUGGCUUAUCAAGCCAGGGGUGAAAGGCAUUGGCUCAACCAAUGUAAGCCUUUGGAACUGAUAGGCUUGAGUGCAGGAGAGGUAAGUGGAAUUCCUAGUGUAGAGGUGAAAUUCGUAGAUAUUAGGAGGAAACACAGUGG
rnacentral:rRNA from 1 species